UACGUAGGGCGCAAGCGUUAUCCGGAAUUAUUGGGCGUAAAGAGCUCGUAGGCGGUUUGUCGCGUCUGCCGUGAAAGUCCGGGGCUCAACUCCGGAUCUGCGGUGGGUACGGGCAGACUAGAGUGAUGUAGGGGGAGACUGGAAUUCCUGGUGUAGCGGUGAAAUGCGCAGAUAUCAGGAGGAACACCGGUGGCGAAGGCGGGUCUCUGGGCAGUAACUGACGCUGAGAAGCGAAAGCGUGGGGAGCGAACAGG
rnacentral:rRNA from 1 species